UGAUGCCUACGGGGGGCAGCAGUGGGGGAUAUUGCACAAUGGGGGAAACCCUGAUGCAGCGACGCCGCGUGAGUGAAGAAGUAUUUCGGUAUGUAAAGCUCUAUCAGCAGGGAAGAAAAUGACAGUACCUGACCAAGAAGCCCCGGCUAACUACGUGCCAGCAGCCGCGGUAAUACGUAGGGGGCAAGCGUUAUCCGGAUUUACUGGGUGUAAAGUGUGCGUAGGUGGCAGGGCAAGUCAGAUGUGAAAGCCCGGGGCUCAACCCCGGUACUGCAUUUGAAACUGUCCAGCUGGAGUGCAGGAGG
rnacentral:rRNA from 1 species